UUGUGUUCAAAAGGAACUCGCCGGAGAAGUUCAAGUUCGAUAACGUUGAGGGUAAAUCGGAAGUAGAAAAUUAUUUUCUUUUUGAAAGUUAUUUUACUUGCAGUCACCAACCUCUAAUCCGCUAUGUCGAUUGAAAUGCAAUUUUCUUUUUGUAUAGCGGAUGACUUAAAAAUAAUUCAUCUUGAAAAAAUGGGCAAAAAAGAAAAGAGAGAAAACCUAAAAUCAUAUUAAGAUCGCAAGAAUACAAGGGAUAAGUCAACUUCUAAAUUUAGACUUUUCUCUACGGAGUGAUGGAGCGUUCAAUCGACUUACAAUGUCCGUGGUCAUUCCGUGCUGGUUACAGUUGGCUUGGUAGACUGCAUUCUGACCAGAGUAAUCCAGUAAGGAUUUCACGUCGACUUGUUUGCUGUUUUGAAGUAACGACUUCGUGGCGGCACGAUGGAGAGCAGUCAUUCCAACGCGAUCAUCUAAACUGUCAACCUCGUCUGGCAGUGCAUCAAGUCAAAAUAAAAGCUGGUUUCGGUUGUUUAGCUGCUCUUCUGAAGACAGUUGAAGGAAUUGUGUGAAGAAGAUUGCGAUGUUGGCCAACUUUUAUACCUCGCAGUUGCGGCUGAGUGAAAGUGAUCGGCCAAGACCUUCCACAGCGUUUAUUUAGGAAUAGCAAAUCUGGAGACGUAUGGCCCAGAUGCGGUCAUUUUGCGAGAUUCGACAGAAACUAUCGAACGGGACUCCGGUUUGCCGAUUAUGAAUUUCAAAUACCUGGCUAAAUAUAUCCACCAUAAUAGUGAGUCGUCUCAUCCAUGGCGAAUUGAACGACAUUUAAUCUGGCAAGUUAAAUAAUGAGACGCCCAGGCAGCAAGUGCUACUUAUUGAAAUGCUUCAGAGGUGGAGCUGCAUAUUCUUUUAAACCAAAUGAGCGGAACCACUGAUUAAGGAACUUAUUCUUCAACCAAAAAAUCUGUGACAAUGUUUUCGUGAAUUUCCGUGACACGCACUCCCCAUGCAGAUAUUAUUUCACGCUCGCUCAAUUCACGCAGUAGCGCUUAACGUAUGGAAAUAAAAGCUGCCACAAAUGUGGCAGAAAGAAAAUUGAAGACAACGAUGUGGAGUCUACAUGUUGCUUACAUGUAAAUGUCGGUCUUAGACCUCUUGCCACCAGAUGGCGAUAAACGAAGGAGCCGCCAGGCGGCGUAGGACGAACGUCGAGACUCGAGCGUGAUGAAGCCGCCAUCAGCUGAUCAGCCCACAGUUGUACGUGAGUCGUGACGUGACGUUGAACUUGAGCAAACUAGUUAUGUCACUGCCAGCCAGGUUAAGUUGAAGCUGUUUGCUGUUCCCGUUCAAUGCAGAACAUUUUGACGUGCCACCUUGCUAUCAGCUAACUGCACAAGUUUUCCCUCUUUUGGAUAUGCCUUCAUUUGCCUAUGGUGUUGCAAACCAAUGUGCUGAUGCUGUUUCCUGCCUGUCACAUGGUUUACGGAUUUCUUGAACAAAAGAGUUUAAUUGGCGAAACUGUUUAAAGAAAUCAAGUUCAGCCAUCAGCACAUGGUCACAUUUAUCUAGGUUACUCAGCCAGGCUAAGUUGAAGUUGUUUGCUGUUGCUGCUAAUGCAGAACAUUUUGUCUUGCUAACUGGGUUUUCAACUGUUGGUUGAUGCCUGAGCUAUGCAUAAAAUUGCUUAUGGCGUUGCAGUCCAAUGUGAUGAUGGUGUUUCCUGCAAGUUACCUGGUUUAAGGAGUACUGGAACAAACAAACAAAUGUCACUGAUUGUUUUCUAUUUUAGUUUAUUUUCUCAAUUUGUAUGGUCUGUCAUUUUGCAAUUUUUUCGCAAUAUUUUCUAAGUGUAGCUUGGAAUCGGAAAAGGUCGUCACGUCUGACUUCAAAUAAGCUCAUAUGAAGCAUUUUUGAGUACGUAGAAAGUUGUAGAACAUUAUGAAGAAAUUUAUCGAUAAGCUUUAAAUCAAUUUGAGAAAUUAGUCUUAAAUUUUGCAUAAAUUACAGACCAAAACCCAUGUAUACCUUAUCCAUCAAAAAUUUCGAUUUAAAUUAAUCAUAUAAAUUUUUGCAGUAAAAUAAUGGAUUAUAAUAUGUAAAAUAAAAUAAUUA